rfam:Lactobacillus vini DSM 20605 Scaffold37, whole genome shotgun sequence.
AGGUCCUUUAAAGUUAGUCCUGUGAGGCUAAGAAGGCAGCGUCUUAAUUGAGCUCGAAAAGGCAUUUGUCUAUCCACUUAGUCGAUGAACUAAGUGGUCUUUUUUU